rnacentral:rRNA from 1 species
UUUUUAAAACAUGUCUUUUUGAUUAUAAUUUAAAGUCUAACCUGCCCAAUGAGGAUUUAAAUGGCCGCGGUAAUUUGACCGUGCAAAGGUAGCAUAAUCAUUAGUUUUUUAAUUGAAAGCUGGAAUGAACGGUUGGACGAGAAAAUAACUGUCUCAAUUUAAUUUAAUUAGAAUUUUAUUUGUAAGUAAAAAAGCUUACAUAAUUUUAAAAGACGAGAAGACCCUAUAGAAUUUUAUAUAAAGAUAUAUUUAUUAUUUUUAGAAUUUUUAUUAGUUAAUAUAUUGAAUAUUUUGUUGGGGUGGCAGAAAAAUUAAAUAAACUUUUUUUUUAUUAAACCAUUAAUUUAUGAGUUAUUGAUCCAUUUUUUAUGAUUAUAAGAUUAAAUUACCUUAGGGAUAACAGCGUAAUUUUUUUUUAGAGUUCUAAUCGAAAAAAGAGUUUGCGACCUCGAUGUUGGAUUAAAAUAAACUUUUGGKGCAGGGGCUAAAAAGUUAGGUCUGUCCGACCUUUAAAAUUUUACAUGAUCUGAGUAAAAACCCGGG